UACGUAGGGUGCAAGCAUUAAUCGGAUUUAUUGGGCGUAAAGGGCGCGUAGGCGGGAAUGCCAGUCAGAUGUGAAAGCCCGGGGCUCAACCCCGGAACAGCAUUUGAAACUACAUUUCUAGAGGGUAGGCGGAGAAAACGGAAUUCCACAAGUAGCGGUGAAAUGCGUAGAUAUGUGGAAGAACACCAGUGGCGAAGGCGGUUUUCUAGCUUAUACCUGACGCUGAGGCGCGAAAGCAAGGGGAGCAAACAGG
rnacentral:rRNA from 1 species